AUCGAACGCUGGCGGCAGGCUUAACACAUGCAAGUCGAGCGAGCGGCGGACGGGUGAGUAAUGUCUGGGAAACUGCCUGAUGGAGGGGGCAAACUACUGGAAACGGUAGAUAAUACCGCAUACCAUCGGAUGUGCCCAGAGGGGAUUAGCUAGUCGGUGGGGUAACGGCUCACCUAGGCGACGAUCCCUAGCUGGUCUGAGAGGCUGACCAGCCACACUGGAACUGAGACACGGUCCAGACUCCUACGUGAGGCAGCAGUUGGGAAUAUUGCACAAUGGGCGCAAGCCUGAUGCGGCCAUGCCGCGUGUGUGAAGAAGGCCUUCGGGUUGUAAAGCACUUUCGGCGAGGAGGCGUUACUCGCAGAAGAAGCACCGGCUAACUCCGUGACAGCAGCCGCGGUAAUUC
rnacentral:rRNA from 1 species